AGGUGUGGUAAGUCGCAUCGUGUGUUCGGGCAGCUUGCCUGUGCAAGAAAAUGUUGUCGCGACAAUUGUUUAUUGUUUGUGUGUCAACUGGCGUUUCUUAUCUCGUAUGUGCUUUGCUUGCUUGGUUAGAGUCGUAGCUCUACCACAGAUUCUGUAAGAGACUUAUAAGGGCUGUGGCUCUACUACGUAGCUGUUUGAUAAAUGCGGAUGAAGGCUACGCGUGGAAAACGUGUUUACAUUCACCAGUCGUUGUGUUCCAAAAUUACGGAGGGAAUAGUUAUCCAAUUUCUUUCAUUCACGAGCAGGGAUGUGUUGCUUUGUUGACGCUACAGGGAAGUUUCCUGGUUUAAAGAAAGUUGUGGCUAUAGGCAACAGCUACUUCAACAAGCUUUGCAUGAAAUCGUGCGUGUGUAACUUAGUUCUAGUGUGAGUGUGUGAUAUUGUACUCUGCAGUAUUUACGAAGAGACUGGUUGGUUUAUAGUUUUGUUUAUGUAAAUGAAAAAUGUAAAGUUGUGUGUAGUAGUGAGACAAAAGCCUUUCAUACAUUUAUUUAAGGUUGUCUGUUGUCUGUUUGAAGGUGUGUCUGCAAAGCUCUGAAACGUUUUGUCAUUUUUGUCUCUUCUGCUCUGGAUAAGGUGGACUUCUCUCCUCUGACCUGUUACCAAGACAGCUGGGUGUGUAGGAAACUGGAACUAAGUCACUGAAGAAGUAAACCGAUGAAAACCGAUUUGGAUUGUCUGAGAGAUCUGUAGGACACAAGUAAGAGGAGAAGAAUGCUGCUCAGCUGGGUCGGCGUCGGCCACACUACUUAUUCAAGAAGCCCUUGGAUAUCAUCGGCAUGUAUGAAGCACAGUCAUUCCGGUAGUCCGUUCCUCGAUGGACGUGAUGACCUGGCACCAAAACCGCUUAAAGUGUAUGGAGCUGUGUCUGCAUCGAGGAAAGAACGCGGCACUGAAAUGACAAGAGGACUACUGCUCUACUGGGUCUGUGACACUACUUAUCCGAGGAGUCCUCAAACAUCAGGAUGUAGGAAGACACAAGUAAAAGGAGAAGAAUGCUGUUCAGCUGGGUCGGCGGCCACACUACUUAUUCAAGAAGCUCUUGGAUAUCAUCGGCAUGUAUGAAGUCCACUGAUGCCAAGCUGCUAAGGACCCCCACCCCCC